rnacentral:rRNA from 1 species
GGACAGCAAUAUGAAGGUCAGGCUGAAGACCUUACCCGAUUAGCUGAGAGGUGGUGCAUGGCCGUCGUCAGUUCGUACUGUGAAGCAUCCUGUUAAGUCAGGCAACGAGCGAGACCCACGUCCACAGUUGCCAGCAUACCCUCCGGGGUGAUGGGUACACUGUGGAGACCGCCGCUGCUAAAGCGGAGGAAGGAGUGGGCAACGGUAGGUCAGUAUGCCCCGAAUCUCCCGGGCUACACGCGGGCUACAAUGGUUGGUACAAUGGGCAUCUACCCCGAAAGGGGAAGGAAAUCUCUUAAAGCCAAUCGUAGUUCGGAUUGAGGGCUGCAACUCGCCCUCAUGAAGCUGGAAUCCGUAGUAAUCGCGUUUCAACAGAACGCGGUGAAUACGUCCCUGCUCCUU